CCUGAGACGGGAACCAAGCUGGUUUCUUCUGUGGUGAUAAUUCCAUCAAGUGUUUAUCACCGGGAGUAAACUAGCUCGGGUUCCGUCUCGGGAU
rnacentral:pre_miRNA from 13 species